AAGACAAUUUUGUAAAAACCGUCUCAAAAGAUUUUUGCUGUUUUUAGUAUUUGCUUUCUCCCUCUACUCUCUCACACUCUCUGUAUUCUCACUCUCCCUCUUACUCUUCGAUUCCCAUCUAGGGUUCAGAAGCCGCAACUACACUUGUUGGUGCUCCCACCUCCCUACCAAACCCUCUGUCUGCCUUCCCAACAACAAAAACAACUCCUCCACCAUCACUCACCCAACCCUAUCAGAAUGCACAGUGCAACACGCUCCAAAGCAGAGCAUCUUCUCAAGAUCGCAAAGAAGCUCUUCUAGAACCGCAAUCUAACAGGCUCGCAUGAGUUUGUGGUCCUGGAUCACGAAACUGAGCCUCUCCUAGAAGGCUCCAACCAGAUCCUUAUUCAAGCAUAGCGUUGAUGUCCCUAAUGGGGGCACUGUUAUCCAUUUCAUUUGCUUUUUGUGUUGAAAGGGAUUUGAGUCAGUGGAGGUUGGGUUGGAAUGUCACACUAUUGAUUGUGGCUUAUGCAGUAUGGGUAUAGCGGUUUCUGGAGUGAUGGUAGCCGGGGUUUCAUGGUGUGUACGCACGAGAGGUCCACUGUUUGUCUCCGUUUUUAGCCCUCUAAUGCUUGUGGUUGUGGCCUUUGCUGGAUCCACUAUUUUGGACGAGAAACUAUACCUUGGAACUGCUUCUAUUUACAUGCUUCUUUUUGUUCUGUUUAUUUAGAUCUAUAAAAUAGUAUUAUGAGUAUUUCAAUUUUCAACCAUGGAAUGCAAACAUCUUGUUUUCUAUUCAUUAAGUGCAACUCCAACUUUUUCCAAAUAUUUCAUUAAUUCAUUCCUAAUAUAGGUCUAUGUGUGCAUGAGGCAAUAAACUAAAUGAAUUGAUUAUUAAUAUACAACUUUAUUUCUAUAUUAUGGUUGGUUGUCAUUUGGAAAUUCAUAAAUUUUUAUGCAACUCUUUCCACAGACUUCACUUUUUUCCUAUUUUUGAUUUUGAGGGGAACAAUAAGUCAAGUUGACAUAUGUUAUAGGGAACACUUCAUUACAUUUGGCUUUCUAUAUGAUGCAUCCAAAAGAUGUAUAAUAUAUUUCCUUAAUAGAAACUAUGGUGGUUAUUCAGUUAGCAUGGAAAGAAUAUCUUAAUGUUGCUGAAUUUAUUUCCUUUAUUUAAAUGAUUAGCUUAGUUCUUAAUGGAAUAUUGCCAUAUUACACAGGGUGGCAUUGGUUCUGCUGGUUUGUCAGCAGAGGACCUUCAUGUUCUGGAUCUCACUCAGCAAUGGCCACAUUGGCAUUGGUUUGAAUUAGUGUCUGUUCAGGGCCCUGGACCCAGGCCAUGCUAUGGACAUGUAAUGGCUUUGGUGGGGCAGAGGUAUCUAAUGGCAAUUGGAGGCAAUGAUGGAAAGAGACCUUUGGCUGAUGUAUGGGCCUUGGACACAGCUGCUAAGCCUUAUGAAUGGCACAAGCUAGAGCCAGAAGGAGAGGGCCCGCCUCCUUGCAUCAAGUUGGAUCAUGAUCGUAGAUAGAAAACAUUUCAACAUCAACAACCAUCAUGAGGAUUAGUAUUAUUUCUGUUACUCUUUUCCUUAUAACGACCAAACUCCUUGUGGGGGCAUAAACAAUAAGCAGAGCAGAUUUUCUAGAGGGGUUUAUCUUUGGAACUACUUCUUCAGCUCACCAGGUAUGCAUCUCAGUUUUUCUUCCUUUCUCUUUCUUUUUCUUCUUUGCCUUAAACAAGCAUAACUGAAGUUCAAUGGAAGUUUCUGAUAUUUGAUCUUGUCCUUCAUCAUAGCAUACCAAAGAGGAUCUGCAAUUGGAGAAAAGCAUCUGCUUGUAAGAUUUGCAGUAGACAGAGGAGGAUUAGUUGGACCAGAUGGUUCCACACACUAUGGUGCAUUUGAUGUCACUUUUACGGCCUGCCUCCCUAACAUGGUGGUGAUGGUUGCUUCUGAUGACGCAGAAAUUUUUCACACGGUUGCCACAGCAGCUGCCAUUAGUGAUCAACCGUGUUGUUUCCGAUACCAGAAGGGAAAUGGAGUUGGUGUUGAAAUACCACCAGGGAAUAAAGGCAUUCCUCUUGAGGUAAGUUAGAAUUAUAUUGGUACCCUUAUUAUGAAGAUAAUUACUUGUCCUGGAAAUUAUUUGCAGGAAAAAGAAUAGUGGAUUCUAUUUAUCUAACACUUGUCAGGUAUGGUAUUUCUUUUUCUUAUUUCAAUUUUUUAUGAUAAGAGAAACUGUGAAAUUAAGUAUAUUAACCGUCAAAGGAGUAGGUAAUGUAUACCUGGGUAAAGUCAUCCAGUAAAUGACUGGUCUCUCAAUAGGUAUUUUUCAUCCACAUAAAUUUCAAAAUUAAACCAAUACCCUAUGCUGAAAGAAUUAAAGUCCAUUUUACUCAGGACAAUACAUAUAUAUCAGUAGUCUUAAUCUUAAUAUUACUUUAGUUAAUUAGCUAGGGUGGUUGUAGAGAACAAAUUUAAAUUACAUGGACUGUGGGUGAACUUAAGAGCCAAUUACUUUAAAUACAUGAAUGUGAUACAUUGAAUAACAGGUUGCAUGGAGCCAACCAAUUUAUUUCUACAUUCCAUUAGACUGUGGCUCAACCUUUCUUUGAUCGAAUGCCUGCCUCCUUUCUUGACCUGAAUUUAUGUAUGCAAUUAGGUCAUGCAUCCUCAGUUGUCAUUCGGAACUUAGCUACAUAUCCUUGAUUCCCACUUUACAGGAACAUUUGAGCUUCAACACACUAAAACUUUCUCUUGUACUUUUUAUUUAUAUUUUUCGGAUCAGCAACGUAUGAUGAGAUAUGGUGCUCACAUAAGAGAAUUACAGUCAAUAUAUUUUUUUAUAUGUAUUUCUCACUAUACAUGAACGCAUGGCGACCUCGUAAAUAACACGUCUCGUAUAUGUUUUUAUUC